rnacentral:rRNA from 1 species
AGUGAACGCUGGCGGUAGGCCUAACACAUGCAAGUCGAACGGCAGCACAGUAAGAGCUUGCUCUUACGGGUGGCGAGUGGCGGACGGGUGAGGAAUACAUCGGAAUCUACUUUUUCGUGGGGGAUAACGUAGGGAAACUUACGCUAAUACCGCAUACGACCUACGGGUGAAAGCAGGGGAUCUUCGGACCUUGCGCGAUUGAAUGAGCCGAUGUCGUAUUAGCUAGUUGGCGGGGUAAAGGCCCACCAAGGCGACGAUCCGUAGCUGGUCUGAGAGGCUGAUCGGCCACACUGGAACUGAGACACGGUCCAGACUCCUACGGGAGGCAGCAGUGGGGAAUAUUAGACAAUGGGCGCAAGCCUGAUCCAGCCAUACCGCGUGGGUGAAGAAGGCCUUCGGGUUGUAAAGCCCUUUUGUUGGGAAAGAAAAGCAGCAGGUUAAUACCCCGCUGUUCUGACGGUACCCAAAGAAUAAGCACCGGCUAACUUCGUG